GACAGCUUGGCCGAGGUUAAGGCGAUAGACUAGAAAUCUAUUGGGGUAACCCGCGUGAGUUCAAAUCUCACAGCUGUCG
rfam:Phytophthora infestans T30-4 supercont1.81 genomic scaffold, whole genome shotgun sequence.